AGGAUUAACGCUGGCGGCGUGCAUGAAACAUGCAAGUCGAGCGCGGUGUGAUGCGGGGUAACCCAAUUCACAUCUAGCGGCGAACGGGUGAGUAACACGUGAGCAACCUACCUUUGAGUUGGGGAUAGCCCUGGGAAACCAGGAUUAAUACCCGAUGUGGUCACAACAGGACAUCCUGAUGUGAGUAAAGGCGCAAGCCGCUCAAUGACGGGCUCGCGGCCUAUUAGCUUGUUGGUGGGUAACGGCCUACCAAGGCGAUGAUGGGUAGCUGGUCUGAGAGGACGAUCAGCCACACUGGACUGAGACACGGCCCAGACUCCUACGGGAGGCAGCAGUUAGGAAUUUUCCGCAAUGGGCGAAAGCCUGACGGAGCAACGCCGCGUGAGUGAUGAAGACCUUCGGGUUGUAAGCUCUGUCGGAGGGAAGAACACAAUGACGGUACCUCCAAGAAAGCCCGGCUAACUACGCGCCAGCAGCCGCGGUAAU
rnacentral:rRNA from 1 species